rnacentral:rRNA from 1 species
AUUGAACGCUGGCGGAAUGCUUUACACAUGCAAGUCGAGCGGCAGCACGGGGGCAACCCUGGUGGCGAGCGGCGAACGGGUGAGUAAUACAUCGGAACAUGCCCAGUCGUGGGGGAUAACACUUCGAAAGAAGUGCUAAUACCGCAUACGUCCUGAGGGAGAAAGCGGGGGAUCGCAAGACCUCGCGCGAUUGGAGUGGCCGAUGUCAGAUUAGCUAGUUGGUGGGGUAAAGGCCUACCAAGGCAACGAUCUGUAGCUGGUCUGAGAGGAUGAUCAGCCACACUGGGACUGAGACACGGCCCAGACUCCUACGGGAGGCAGCAGUGGGGAAUUUUGGACAAUGGGGGCAACCCUGAUCCAGCCAUCCCGCGUGAGUGAAGAAGGCCUUCGGGUUGUAAAGCUCUUUCGGCAGGAACGAAACGGUGAGCUCUAACAUAGCUCGCUAAUGACGGUACCUGAAGAAGAAGCACCGGCUAACUACGUG